rnacentral:rRNA from 1 species
UCGAGAAUCUUGCACAAUGCGCGAAAGCGUGAUGCAGCGACGCCGCGUGAAGGAUGAAGGCCCUCUGGGUCGUAAACUUCUUUUAACGGAGAAGAAUCAAUGACGGUAUCCGUUGAAUAAGCCACGGCUAACUACGUGCCAGCAGCCGCGGUAAUACGUAGGUGGCAAGCGUUGUCCGGAUUUACUGGGCGUAAAGCGUGGGCAGGCGGACAUUUAAGUAGGAAGUGAAAGGUUGGGGCUCAACCCUAACACUGCUCCCUAUACUGGGUGUCUUGAGUGGUGGAGAGGAAAGCGGAACUACACGUGUAGCGGUGAAAUGCGUUGAGAUGUGUAGGAACACCGAUGGCGAAAGCAGCUUUCUGGACACAAACUGACGCUCAGCCACGAAAGCCAAGGGAGCGAACAG